rnacentral:rRNA from 1 species
GACGAACGCUGGCGGCGUGCUUAACACAUGCAAGUCGAACGGAAAGGCCCUGCUUUUGUGGGGUGCUCGAGUGGCGAACGGGUGAGUAACACGUGAGUAACCUGCCCUUGACUUUGGGAUAACUUCAGGAAAAUGGGGCUAAUACCGGGUAGGAGCUCCUGCUUCAUGGUGGGGGUUGGAAAAUUUCGGCGGUUGGGGAUGGACUCGCGGCUUAUCAGCUUGUUGGUGGGGUAGUGGCUUACCAAGGCUUUGACGGGUAGCCGGCCUGAGAGGGUGACCGGCCACAUUGGGACUGAGAUACGGCCCAGACUCCUACGGGAGGCAGCAGUGGGGAAUAUUGCACAAUGGGCGGAAGCCUGAUGCAGCAACGCCGCGUGCGGGAUGACGGCCUUCGGGUUGUAAACCGCUUUCGCCUGUGACGAAGCGUGAGUGGCGGUAAUGGGUAAAGAAGCACCGGCUAACUACGUG